AAUAGAUACCCGGGUAGUCCACGCCGUAAACGAUGAGUGCUAAGUGUUAGAGGGUUUCCGCCCUUUAGUGCUGCAGCUAACGCAUUAAGCACUCCGCCUGGGGAGUACGGCCGCAAGGCCGAAACUCAAAGGAAUUGACGGGGGCCCGCACAAGCGGUGGAGCAUGUGGUUUAAUUCGAAGCAACGCGAAGAACCUUACCAGGUCUUGACAUCCUCUGCCAACCCUAGAGAUAGGGCGUUCCCCUUCGGGGGACAGAGUGACAGGUGGUGCAUGGUUGUCGUCAGCUCGUGUCGUGAGAUGUUGGGUUAAGUCCCGCAACGAGCGCAACCCUUGAUCUUAGUUGCCAGCAUUCAGUUGGGCACUCUAAGGUGACUGCCGGUGACAAACCGGAGGAAGGUGGGGAUGACGUCAAAUCAUCAUGCCCCUUAUGACCUGGGCUACACACGUGCUACAAUGGAUGGUACAAAGAGCUGCGAACCCGCGAGGGUAAGCCAAUCUCAUAAAGCCAUUCUCAGUUCGGA
rnacentral:rRNA from 1 species